rnacentral:siRNA from 1 species
CUACUGAUGCCCGCGUCGC